CUUGAAAUGAAGCAAUAUGGUGUAAGAUAUUCAACAGACACCAGCUUACCUUUACCCAAGCCCUGGCUAAGUACUGGUGGUCCCUCCUGUCUGUUACAUAGUACCCAGUAGAUGGCUUCUGUCCGUUGGUGUAAAUUUGUUGUUCUCCUGUGCAACAAAAUGAGUUCCUCUUCCAGUUCAUCAAUAAGUGAGAAUGACAAACGACUUAGAUCGGAG